UUGAAUUUAAUGUAGAGAUUUGGUUGUAGCUGGCCCUUCAAUUUAACUGUUGUUGGGCAUGUGCACACCUUUCUCUUUCAUCCACACACACCUGUGCACUUGUGAGACAGCUUGGAGGACUUUAUUGGACUCCUUCUGUCUACUUAAUCCACACAAACUCAAUUUAUUUUAAACUGAAUGUAUAUUGAUGUAACGCAUCUAAUACU
rnacentral:misc_RNA from 1 species